rnacentral:rRNA from 1 species
GACGAACGCUGGCGGCGUGCCUAACACAUGCAAGUCGAACGGAGUACCCUUCGGGGUGCUUAGUGGCGAACGGGUGAGUAACGCGUGAAGAACCUGCCUUUCAGUGGGGGACAACAGUUGGAAACGACUGCUAAUACCGCAUAAGCGCACAGGACCGCAUGGUCUGGUGUGAAAAACUCCGGUGGUAUACGAUGGACCCGCGUCUGAUUAGCUAGUUGGUAAGGUAACGGCUUACCAAGGCGACGAUCAGUAGCCGGCCUGAGAGGGUGAACGGCCACAUUGGAACUGAGACACGGUCCAAACUCCUACGGGAGGCAGCAGUGGGGGAAUAUUGCACAAUGGGGGAAACCCUGAUGCAGCGACGCCGCGUGAGUGAAGAAGG